rnacentral:lncRNA from 1 species
GGUCCAUAGACUUAUCAUCUAAGACUAGUAUCGUUAUGACAACUGACAAGGCGUUGAGGUUCACACAUCAAAUAUUGCAUAAAUGGGAUGACAGUACAUGAAUGCCCAACAGUACAAUUUGAGUACGUGACUUCUCAGAAUCUCUCAACAACACUUGGGUUUAAUUUAAAUACGUAGACUUCUUCUCAGAAUCUCUAUCACCAUGUGGAUUUCUUAGAAUCUCCACACACCACUACCAAACUGAGGACGUAUGUCGCAAUUGAUUUCUAUGGUCUUGCUGGACCAUGUGAAAUAUGAAUUUCUGCUUAUGUUUUGUCUUACUGAUGUAUUUUUUUUUUUUUUUAAUUUUUUAACAGUGGGAUUGAGAAUGCUUUACUGGAACGUUACAAGUUGGAUAAGAAAUUUGUGACUGAGGUUCAGGUAAGAAUUUACUGAUGUUGUCUAACCCCUCAACUUGGUACUUGCAGUACAGAACCUAACACGACCCACCUCCUCUCUUCCAGUAUGACAAAGAUGAACGUGUCAUUGUGGAUGUCAAAAAACCUGAGAAAGAACGUGUUACAGACCUGUCCCUCAUGACUUACUACAUGGAGAAGGACGUGAGUGUCGUUUCAGUUUCUUAUCUUCAUACCAGGUGUUAUGUUGUAACUUAAUAUGUAACUAAAUUAAUUUGUCUUUCGUAGAUCAAAGCUCUGCCCCUCUUUCAAGACUAUAAACCAUUUGAAGUCCAUGUUGAGGGAUUAAAGGGUGUCCAUGGAGAACAUCCUUGUGUACUAUGUAGAUGACGUGCCGCCCACCUUCACCAUGCAGAGGCUGACUGGUGGUAUCAUUGCUGUCAUUGUGGUGGUCAGCUUGAUUGUGAUUGCAGGACUUCUGGUCGUGUUCUUCCUCACACGGCGACAGAGGGCCCAGCACAGUGAAGCACAGGUUAGUUCUCAUUUAUUUCAGUAUGGUCCAAACUGUGUGGGUACUUCAUCAAUAGAAAGCAAGCUUUGGCAUUAUAACAUGUUUCCUUCUGUACUUGCAGGCCAGAGAGAUGGAGACCAUGUCUUAAAGCUAUUAAUAAGAAGUCUCGUGUACCCGAGUCUGAGACUGGGAUGUGCCCCAUGCUGAAGCUUAGACCAGCUGUACUUUUUUUGCUUGUCACAUUUUCAUGUUAGAGAAACUAAGUGUCUGUUACGUGGAGUACAGUUUUUGUUUUUAAAUGCUACAUUUUUGCUAUUUAAUGAGGGCUCAUUUUCAAUUGGAUCAACAUUUUAACACUGUACAGUUUGACUUCUGAGUUUUUAAUAAAAUUUGUUUUAAUGUUUAAACAUUGUCGUGCAAGUUUUUAAUUCUGGCAUAUGGCAGAUACACCAGGCAUAUGAUAAUCUAAAUGGAAAAAUCAAAGUCCUUUGAACUAUAGAGCUGUAUUGGUCUUGCUAAAUGAAAAGGACUAACCUAGCACAAAACGAUUCCUAGCUUUUGUUUGCAACCAUUCCUUUUCAGCCCAGGGCAAGCAGUUGAGCUGCACCUGUUCUCUGCCAUAUGAGAUUCACCACAGAAUUCAAAUCUGUGAUGGCAACUCAUUGAAUGGGACUAGUUUUAGUGUGACUGAACUUUGUCCAAAUCAAAUAAUGCAGUGUCAAGUAGACACCAAUUACUUAUGCAUUGCAAAAACUUUUUUUUUUCUUUGGAGGUAUGUGGACGGUUCCUUACCGUAUACGUAGGUACG